CAGUAGCCGCGGUAAUACGAAGGGUGCAAGCGUUACUCGGAAUUACUGGGCGUAAAGCGUGCGUAGGUGGUGGUUUAAGUCCGUUGUGAAAGCCCUGGGCUCAACCUGGGAAUUGCAGUGGAUACUGGGUCACUAGAGUGUGGUAGAGGAUAGUGGAAUUUCCGGUGUAGCAGUGAAAUGCGUAGAGAUCGGAAGGAACAUCUGUGGCGAAGGCGACUAUCUGGGCCAACACUGACACUGAGGCACGAAAGCGUGGGGAGCCAACAGGAUUAGAUACCCGUGUAGUCCCUGUCUCUUAUAC
rnacentral:rRNA from 1 species